GCAUCGGUAGCUCAGCAGGUAGAGCGCCGGCCUGAAGAGCCGGUUGCCCUGGUUCGAUUCCAGGCUGAUGCACCA
rnacentral:tRNA from 1 species